rnacentral:rRNA from 1 species
UCCUGGCUUAGGAUGAACGCUAGCGGCAGGCUUAACACAUGCAAGUCGAGGGGCAUCGGGAGUAGCAAUACUGCCGGCGACCGGCGCAAGGGUGCGUAACGCGUGAGCAACAUGCCCGUAUCAGGGGGGAUAAUCCAUGGAAACGUGGUCUAAUACCCCAUAGUAAUUAUGUAAGGCAUCUUAUAUAAUUUAAAGCUUUGGUGGAUACGGAUUGGCUCGCGUGACAUUAGCUAGAUGGUAAGGUAACGGCUUACCAUGGCUACGAUGUCUAGGGGUUCUGAGAGGAAGGCCCCCCACACUGGAACUGAGACACGGUCCAGACUCCUACGGGAGGCAGCAGUGAGGAAUAUUGGACAAUGGAUGGAAAUCUGAUCCAGCCAUGCCGCGUGCAGGAAGAACCGGCCCUAUGGGUUGUAAACUGCUUUUGUAUGGGAGCAAUAAGGGCUACGCGUAGUCCGAUGAGAGUACCAUACGAAUAAGCACCGGCUAACUCCGUGCCAGCAGCAGC